CUUCCCCACCCAGCCGGUCAGUGUGCGCUGACGGCUCCUGGGGACGAGCUACCGAGCGCGGCGUCGGCCUCCGUGUGAAGCGCAGACCCUCUGUCUUUUGCUGUUCAGUGCUUAGCUGAGGUCCCACCAAGUUUCACUUAGGGUGCAGAACACCUUCCUCUUCUCUCAGCAGAAAACCCGCCCCUGACGCCGCCUGUGGUUCAGAGCUUAGCUUCUCGUCGCUUUCGCUAAACCUGGCACAGGCCUGGAACGUGCUGCGUUAUGAAAGCGGCUAUUCUCCACCUCCUGAAAACCCCGACUGCGUUAGUGUUCUGAACAUAACCUGUGUUUGAGCUCCAGCACCUACCCAGGUCUCAGUUAAGACAGUAAGUGUACACUGAGCCCGGUACGGACAGGUUGAAAAUAUAUCCACAGCAUUUCUCUGCGGCCCUGGAGAGUGCAGCAGGGCAGACAAGCCGCCUAGUCCCUCAGGCUGAUGUUCGCUAGGUUUGAAACUCCUCCACUGAAAAGGUGGGGUCCAGUUGCUCCGCUGAGCACGUAGUCUACCACUGGGCCGCAGCCCCGGCGCAAGGUAUUUUGUCCCAACAAGGAGAGAAAAGUAACCGAGGCAAACAGGUGACGGAGAGAAGGAACAGCUCUAAUAUCUUCCAGCACCACACAUCAUGUGCUCUGACAAGUUUAAAAACUCAGAAGAUCAGACUGGCAUUUCCUGUUUUUACCCUGCAUGAUGUUUAUUUGGGCUGUCGUCAGGUGGAUGAGGAGCUCCAAUUUCAACCCAUAGUAAAGGAAUUUGGCCUUCUGUUGUAUAGAGGGUUGGUAAAGUAUUCUCAGAAUGUUUUAAAAAUAAAGUGGU